AACACGCAUGACACACUGCAUAUCAAUAAGCGGAGGAAAAGAAACUAACAAGGAUUCCCUUAGUAACGGCGAGUGAAGCGGGAAGAGUUCAAAUUUGAAAUCUUCAAGGUUCUACCUUGACGAAUUGUAGUUUAUAGAAGUGUUUUCUGUUAGUAGAGUGGCAAAAGUUCUUUGGAAUAGGACAUCAUAGAGGGUGAGAAUCCCGUAUUUGGUCAUUCCUCCUAGCGUUGUGAUACACUUCAACGAGUCGGAUUGUUUGGGGAAUGCAGUCCAAAAUGGGUGGUAAAUUUCAUCUAAAGCUAAAUAUUGGCGAGAGACCGAUAGCGAACAAGUACCGUGAGGGAAAGAUGAAAAGAACUUUGAAAAGAGAGUUAAACAGUACGUGAAAUUGUCAAAAGGGAAGCGUUUGACACCAGUGUUGUUUUUCCGAAAAUCAAUUACGAAUGUUUUGUUUUUAAGAAGUUAUGACUUCAUCGGCUUGCUUCUCUCUUUACUGAAACUUUCUUAAUGCACUUUUCGGUUAACAAGUCGACAUCAAUUUCUUUUGUUGUAAAAGGGUAUGAGGAAGGUGGCUUUCUUUUCGGAGAAAGUGUUUAUAGCCUCGUAGCCUCUGCAAUCGGAGAGAUUGAGGUCUGCAGCGUAGAUCCUUCGGGGUUAGAUACAGUUUGUGCUAAGUUAUAGCUUUUCAUAGACAACUUGUUGACUAUGUUUAGUCUUGUAGCUUACUCGCUUAUGCUAUUUUACCUACGCUUAGGAUGUUGACGAGACUGUCGAUCUC
rnacentral:rRNA from 1 species